GCCAACCCAGGAAUUGAACUUGAUCUCCUGCAUUGCAGGCGGAUUCUUUACCCAUUGAGCUAUCAUGGAAGCUCAAUAUGAGGAUGGAAAAGCAUUUGACAGAAUUCAACAUCCAUUCUUGAUAAAGACUCCUAGAAAAAAAGGAAGAGAAGGAAACUUCAACUCGAUACAGAAAAUCUACAGCUAACAUUUUACUUACUGGAGAAAGGCUGAAUGCUUUCUCCCAGAUUUCAGGAACACAGCAAGUAUUUCCACUUCCAUCACUCUUAGUCAACAUAAUGCAGAAGUUCUAGUGAGAGUAUUAAGGCAGGAAAAUAAAAUUAAAGGCAUAAUGAUUGGAAGAAACAAACAAAAAUGGCACUAUUAGCAAAUGGCAUGAAUGUCUGCCUAAAACCUCAGGGAAUCUACCCAAAAAAAACCUCCUAAAAUUAAAAAGUAAGUUCAUCAAUGUUAUAGUAUACAAGAUCCACAUAGUAAAAUCAAUUAUACCUCUAUAUGGGCUAUGGUUUUUCCUGUGGUCAUGUAUGGAUGUGAGAGUUGGACUAUGAAGAAGGCUGAGCACAGAAGAAUUGAUGCUUUUGAACUGUGGUGUUGGAGAAGACUCUUGAGAGUCCCUUGGACUGCAAGGAGAUCCAACCAGUCCAUUCUGAAGAUCAGCCCUGGGAUUUCUUUGGAAGGAAUGAUGCUAAAGCUGAAACUCCAGUACUUUGGCCACCUCAUGCGAAGAGUUGACUCAUUGGAAAAGACUCUGAAGCUAGGAGGGAUUGGGGGCAGGAGGAGGAGGGGACGACAGAGGAUGAGAUGGC
ensembl:lncRNA